AGAACGAACGCUGGCGGCAGGCUUAACACAUGCAAGUCGAACGGUUGUAGCAAUACAGCAGUGGCAGACGGGUGAGUAACACGUGGGAACCUUCCUAGGGGUACGGAACAACUCAGGGAAACUUGAGCUAAUACCGUAUACGUCCGUGAGGAGAAAGAUUUAUCGCCCCUAGACGGGCCCGCGUAGGAUUAGGUAGUUGGUGAGGUAACGGCUCACCAAGCCUACGAUCCUUAGCUGAUCUGAGAGGAUGAUCAGCCACACUGGAACUGAGACACGGUCCGGACUCCUACGGGAGGCAGCA
rnacentral:rRNA from 1 species